UACGUAGGGUGCGAGCGUUUGUCCGGAAUUAUUGGGCGUAAAGAGCUUGUAGGUGGUUUGUCGCGUCUGCUGUGAAAAUCCGAGGCUCAACCUCGGACUUGCAGUGGGUACGGGCAGACUAGAGUGUGGUAGGGGAGACUGGAAUUCCUGGUGUAGCGGUGGAAUGCGCAGAUAUCAGGAGGAACACCGAUGGCGAAGGCAGGUCUCUGGGCCAUUAACUGACACUGGAGAA
rnacentral:rRNA from 1 species